UCCAGAGGUCUCAAGCGUUGUUCGGAUUCAUUGGGCGUAAAGGGUGCGUAGGCGGCGCGGUAAGUCGGGUGUGAAAUCUCGGGGCUUAACUCCGAAACUGCAUUCGAUACUGCCGUGCUUGAGGACUGGAGAGGAGACUGGAAUUUACGGUGUAGCGGUGAAAUGCGUAGAUAUCGUAAGGAAGACCAGUGGCGAAGGCGGGUCUCUGGACAGUUCCUGACGCUGAGGCACGAAGGCCAGGGGAGCAAACGGG
rnacentral:rRNA from 1 species